AUGAACGCUAGCUACAGGCUUAACACAUGCAAGUCGAGGGGCAUCAGGAAGAAAGCUUGCUUUCUUUGCUGGCGACCGGCGCACGGGUGAGUAACACGUAUCCAACCUGCCCUUUACUCGGGGAUAGCCUUUCGAAAGAAAGAUUAAUACCCGAUAGCAUAAUGAUUCCGCAUGGUUUCAUUAUUAAAGGAUUCCGGUAAAGGAUGGGGAUGCGUUCCAUUAGGUUGUUGGUGAGGUAACGGCCCACCAAGCCUUCGAUGGAUAGGGGUUCUGAGAGGAAGGUCCCCCACAUUGGAACUGAGACACGGUCCAAACUCCUACGGGAGGCAGCAGUGAGGAAUAUUGGUCAAUGGGCGCUAGCCUGAACCAGCCAAGUAGCGUGAAGGAUGAAGGCUCUAUGGGUCGUAAACUUCUUUUAUAUAAGAAUAAAGUGCAGUAUGUAUACUGUUUUGUAUGUAUUAUAUGAAUAAGGAUCGGCUAACUCCGUGCCAGCAGCCGCGGUAAUACGGAGGAUCCGAGCGUUAUCCGGAUUUAUUGGGUUUAAAGGGAGCGUAGGUGGACUGGUAAGUCAGUUGUGAAAGUUUGCGGCUCAACCGUAAAAUUGCAGUUGAUACUGUCAGUCUUGAGUACAGUAGAGGUGGGCGGAAUUCGUGGUGUAGCGGUGAAAUGCUUAGAUAUCACGAAGAACUCCGAUUGCGAAGGCAGCUCACUGGACUGCAACUGACACUGAUGCUCGAAAGUGUGGGUAUCAAACAGGAUUAGAUACCCUGGUAGUCCACACAGUAAACGAUGAAUACUCGCUGUUUGCGAUAUACAGUAAGCGGCCAAGCGAAAGCAUUAAGUAUUCCACCUGGGGAGUACGCCGGCAACGGUGAAACUCAAAGGAAUUGACGGGGGCCCGCACAAGCGGAGGAACAUGUGGUUUAAUUCGAUGAUACGCGAGGAACCUUACCCGGGCUUAAAUUGCAGUGGAAUGAUGUGGAAACAUGUCAGUGAGCAAUCACCGCUGUGAAGGUGCUGCAUGGUUGUCGCCAGCUCGUGCCGUGAGGUGUCGGCUUAAGUGCCAUAACGAGCGCAACCCUUAUCUUUAGUUACUAACAGGUUAUGCUGAGGACUCUAGAGAGACUGCCGUCGUAAGAUGUGAGGAAGGUGGGGAUGACGUCAAAUCAGCACGGCCCUUACGUCCGGGGCUACACACGUGUUACAAUGGGGGGUACAGAAGGCAGCUAGCGGGUGACCGUAUGCUAAUCCCAAAAUCCUCUCUCAGUUCGGAUCGAAGUCUGCAACCCGACUUCGUGAAGCUGGAUUCGCUAGUAAUCGCGCAUCAGCCACGGCGCGGUGAAUACGUUCCCGGGCCUUGUACACACCGCCCGUCAAGCCAUGGGAGCCGGGGGUACCUGAAGUACGUAACCGCAAGGAUCGUCCUAGGGUAAAACUGGUGACUGGGGCU
rnacentral:rRNA from 1 species